rnacentral:rRNA from 1 species
CCUUCGGGAGGCAGCAGUGGGGAAUAUUGCACAAUGGGGGAAACCCUGAUGCAGCGACGCCGCGUGGGUGAUGACUUACUUCGGUAUGUAAAGCUCUAUCAGCAGGGAAGAAAAUGACGGUACCUGACUAAGAAGCCCCGGCUAACUACGUGCCAGCAGCCGCGGUAAUACGUAGGGGGCAAGCGUUAUCCGGAUUUACUGGGUGUAAAGGGAGCGUAGGCGGCGUGCCAAGUCUGGUGUGAAAGGCCGGGGCUCAACCCCGGGACUGCAUUGGAAACUGUCAGGCUGGAGUGCAGGAGGGGUAAGCGGAAUUCGUAGUGUAGCGGUGAAAUGCGUAGAUAUUAGGAGGAACACCGGUGGCGAAGGCGGCUUGCUGGACGGUAACUGACGUUGAGGCUCGAAAGCGUGGGGAGCAAACAGGAUUAGAUACCCCUGUAGUC